UUCUCUCUCUCUCUCUCUCUCUCUCUCUCUCUGCAAUUUUUCAAUUCAUCCAUUUCUCUCUCUCAACUCAUCAUCUUCCUUCUUCAUUUUCAGUUCUUCCAUUCUUCUUUUGCUUCUCCAACUCUCACUCUCAGCCGCCGGCGACGGUUUUUUCCUUUUUCACGAUGAUGCUCCAGAGUUCUAGUAUUGUGCGAUUAUCGGAGCGGAGUACGAGAAUUGAGCUUUUGGUUUUGUAAAUGAAUGUAUGCGAAUCUUUGUUGUGAUUACAAAUUGGGUUUUGUUAUUGUGAUUGAUGGCUUCCACUAACUCACCGCCCAACAUUGAUGCUUCGACGUUGACGGAGGAUUUAGCGACCAAAGCUUUGAAUAAACGGUAUGAAUGCCUUGUAACUGUUCGAACAAAGGCUAUUAAAGGGAAAGGGGCUUGGUAUUGGGCUCAUUUAGAGCCUGUUCUUAUACGGAAUCCAACUAAUAGUCUUCCCAAAGCGGUGAAGCUCAAGUGUUCGUUGUGUGAUUCUGUUUUUUCGGCUUCGAAUCCGUCAAGGACUGCAUCUGAGCAUUUGAAACGAGGGACUUGUCCUAAUUUGAGUUCAAUUUCUCGGUCUAUUGCUUCGGCUGCGUCUCCGUUGCCGAUAUCGUCUAUUCCUUCUCCGACAUUGCACAACCACAAAAAACGGAGCUCUCAAAUGAAUGCUCCAAUUCUUACUGCUUCUUAUCAAGUUCAUUCUCUUGCCAUGAUUGAGCCAACGCGUUCGUAUGCUCCGUUAAUUUCCUCUCCGCCGACACCAGGGGCUCAAAAUUCGGUUGGGAUGGCGAGUAAGAUGGGGUUUAAUCAGCAUCAGUUGGUGUUGUCAGGUGGGAAAGACGAUUUGGGUGCGUUAGAAAUGCUGGAAAACAGUGUCAAGAAACUCAAGAGUCCGCAUGCUUCACCUGGGCCAAGGCUAAGUAAGGAACAAAUCGAUUCUGCUAUUGAAUUACUGACUGACUGGUUUAUUGAGUCAUGUGGGUCAGUUUCACUUUCAUGCUUUGACCACCCCAAGUUUAAGGCCUUGCUUAGUCAAUUGGGUUUGCCUUCAUUACCUAGAACCGACAUUUUAGGAGCUCGGCUUGACUCCAAGUUUGAAGAGGCCAAGGCUGAUUCAGAAGCCAGGAUUAGAGAUGCAGCGUUUUUUCAAAUUGCUUCAGAUGGGUGGAAGAAUAAGAACUGCUGUGAUGAAGAGAGUGUUGUUAAAUUUAUGGUCAAUCUACCAAAUGGUACUACUGUAUUUCAAAAAGCACUAUUUACAGGGGGAUUGGUAUCAUCCAAGUAUGCAGAAGAGGUUAUUUUGGAUACGGUCAACGAGAUUUGUGGAAGUGGUUUGCAGAAAUGUGUGGGGAUAAUUGCAGAUAGGUAUAAGGCCAAGGCGUUGAGGAAUUUGGAGAUAAAGAAUCAUUGGAUGGUAAAUCUCUCUUGCCAGCUUCAGGGUUUUAUUAGUUUGAUAAAGGAUUUUAACAAAGAGCUUCCACUUUUCAGGGCAGUCACUGAAAAUUGCUUGAAGGUUGCAAAUUUUGUAAACACCAAAUCUCAAGUUAGAAACUGUAUAAACAAGUACAAGGUGCAGGAGCUAGAGGGUCAUUGGUUGCUUCAUGUUCCUUCUCCAAACUGUGACACAUCCAAAAACUUUUCACCUGUUUAUUCUAUGCUUGAUGAUAUGCUUAACUGCGCUCAUGUGCUUCAAAUGGUUGUGUUAGACGAGUCCUAUAAGGUGGCAUGCAUGGAGGAUUCACUUGCUACUGAGGUUUCUAGUUUGAUACAAAAUGAACGCUUUUGGGAUGAAUUGGAGGCAGUUCAUUCAUUUGUGAAGAUGAUACGCGUGAUGGCUCAAGAGAUUGAAGCAGAACGGCCACUGAUUGGGCAAUGCUUGCCACUCUGGGAGGAGCUGAGAACAAAAGUGAAGGAAUGGUGUGUUAAGUUCAGCAUAGCUGAAGAGCCAGUGGAAAAAAUUGUAGAAAAGAGGUUUAGGAAAAAUUAUCAUCCAGCAUGGUCAACUGCAUUUAUACUAGACCCGCUUUACUUGAGGAGGGACAUGAAUGGGAAGUAUCUUCCACCCUUCAAGUGCCUUUCACAAGAGCAGGAAAAGGAUGUGGAUUCACUUAUCAAUCGGUUAGUGUCAAGGGAAGAAGCUCAUCUUGCAUUCAUGGAGCUUAUGAAAUGGAGAUCUGAAGGGUUAGAUCCACUUUAUGCUCAGGCAGUUCAGGUUAAACAAAGAGACCCUUUAACUGGAAAGAUGAAAAUUGCCAACCCACAGAGUAGGCGACUUGUCUGGGAAACUUGCUUAAGCGGGUUUAAAACCCUCGGCAAGGUUGCACUGAGGCUCAUUUUCCUCCACUCAACAUCUUGUGGCUUUAAGUGUAAAUGUUCUAUCAUGAAUUUGGUUUGCUCAAAUCGGCACUCGAGGGUCGGCUUGGAGAGAGCUCAGAAGAUGGUAUUUGUUGCAGCUCAUGCCAAACUUGAAAGAGGAGACUUUUCUAACGAGGAAGACAAAGAUGCAGAACUAUUUGCAAUGGCAGAUGGUGAAAAUGACAUGCUCAAUGAGGUCUUUUCUGAUGCACCCUCAAUUAAAGUGGUGGAUGUGUUUGAUCAAACCGAACCAGAGCUGUCAGGAGUCAACCUCGGACUAGGUACCAUAUCUUUGCAGCUGAAGAUGCACUUGGCUGAUAGAAUCCCAGAUAUAUCUCCUGUUUUGCCUACUUAUGUCACUUUUUGAGCCCCACUGUUUGGAGUGGAUGUCUAUCUCAAUGCUGUUGUAGAUGUCAUAGUCAAAGAAAAGACAUUUACAAGUUUUGCAGAUUUAUUGGUUAGCAUUGGCAUGAUUGCUAAAAAAGUCUUGAGCAAAGGGCAAGCAAGAAGGGCUGUCGGCAUGAGUAUGCACAUAACAAGGUCGAAAGGGAUGUAGCAACGAACUUGAAUUGAUGUUGCAUGUAUGGCUCAGAAAACAACUUUGACAACACAAAGCAGGUUGAAAUGGAGGAGGUUCUAGAUCUCAAAGGAGCCAUUAUGCUAAAUUUGCCAAGUUACCUUUUAAUGAUGGUAAGAAUAAAAGCUAAACUUUUUAAUGGUUUAUCUGGUCCUACCUUUCUUAUAAUUGUGUAUUGAGCAUCCUCUGGCUAUCUCUUCCUCGCUAAAAAAGAAAGUUAGAUACCAUUUACCAUUUAGGUGUGCUGAGUCUUGGUUUAACCCAUAGUCACUGUUAGUAUUGGGAAUGAUGUCAUAAGCUAAGCUUGUCGGCUUGGCCAAGUUGUAUGCCAUUGGCAUCCCAAUCUGGUACACCUGAAAGUGUUCUUUCUCCCCACAUUCACAAAAUCAAUGCUUAAAAAGAAUAUAAAAGUAGAUGUAGUCUUUUAGUUUUUGAAAACAGUAACUACAUUUUGUUCCAAUUGAUGCAUAAGAUGGGGCAGUAAUGAAAGGUUCAAAGCUGAGAGAGGAUUAGAUGAGAAAAAUGUAAAAAACUUGGCAAUAUUUGUUUGUACAUUUGUAGAUAUGAUGUAUUAUUAGGUCUUCAUUGCUCUUAAAUUACAAUAAAUUUUCUUCAACGUUUACCAAUGAGAGAAAGAUUGUCCUAGUAGGUCUUCUUCUUCCAUUAAAGAAUAAACCAAAAAAAACACAUUGCUCCCCUCAUUUCUAGGGAUAUCAAUAAAGUUCAUUGACCCACAUUCACUCUCUUUUCUUUUAAUCAUGGGUCUCAAGAUUUACCUUCAUUACACACGCACUCCACUACAAAUUGACUUACCAUCAAAUAGAUUGGGGUGUGAAAAACGAUAACAAAUAAUAGACUGCUUUGGCCUAUUUUGAAAAUAUACCAAUCAAACCCAAAUAUUUACAAGUAUAGCACGUUGCAAAAGAAUUUGCAGCUUCAGUAAAAUAUUGAUCUAGUUCUUGAAGUUUAAUAGUGAUAGACCUUCCAUCGUCAAUAGUUGUUAUUUUUUAAUUCUUAAAAAAUGUUAUUAUAGACUUGAUUAUUAUUUUUGAAAGUAUUAUCCGUAAUUAUGAUGGCUUUGAGAGGUUGAUGGUUGGAAUUACAUUCUGCCAUGGCUGUAGUGAUGAAGUUUUAAAUUUACUGACUUGGCUUUGGGAUUCAAUGAUGGUGGAAUGUAUGUGGAUUUUGUCGGCAAUGUCAGACAAUGGUGACUGCUCACCAACUAGAGAAGAAAGCUUUAUUAUUAUUAUUAUUAUUAUUAUUAUUAUUGUUAUUAUUAUCAUUAUACUUUUCUUAUUCACUUUUUAGUAUGCUUAUUAAAAUGUCAUUCCACUCAUUGUUGUUAUUGUUAAAGGGAAAGUAGAUAUAAUUAUUUGUACACAGGACACACUCUUUUCUACAAGGAAUCUUCACCCUUUGAAUUGCUCAUCAA